rnacentral:rRNA from 1 species
CCGCGGUAAUACGUAGGUGGCAAGCGUUGUCCGGAAUUAUUGGGCGUAAAGGGCGUGUAGGCGGUUUUUUAAGUCAGGGGUGAAACCCCGGGGCUCAACCCUGAGACUGCCUUCGAUACUGCUGGGCUUGAGUGCUCUAGAGGGUAGUGGAAUUGCCGGUGUAGCAGUGAAAUGCGUAGAGAUCGGCAGGAACACCAGUGGCGAAGGCGACUGCCUGGGGAGUAACUGACGCUGAGGCGCGAAAGCUGGGGGAGCAAACGGG